AUACCACGUUGAAACACCGGUUCUCAUAUGAUCAUCAAAGUUAAGCAAUGUCAAGCCUGAUCAGUAUCUAGAUGAGUGUCUGCUUGGGAAUACUAAAUGCUGUAA